AUGGGGAGGGACUAUGUCCCUCCUUCGUUCAAAGAAGUGCAGGACUUAUGGCUUGAUUUAAAGGAUCCUGAAGAUAACAAACUGACCUUGAAAGGUCUUCGUAAGAAGAUGAUUGGCGAAGAGAGGCCACGGUUUGUGAAGCCUUAUGUCUUGUACACCAUUGGCAAGUUGGUUUGCCCAACGACACAACCCUAUGUUGAUCCCAAAUAUUUGGGAAUUGUUAUCGACAUACAUACUAUAAACUCCAUAAAUUAUGCUAAACUAUCUCUUGACCACUUAAUGUCAAGUGUGAGGAAGUUUGUGAACGGUGCCGCAAACUUGGAGGGAAAUCUCCCACUACUGCAGGUAGUACAAACUCAUUAUUUCCUAUGA
rnacentral:rRNA from 1 species